rnacentral:rRNA from 1 species
GCAGUCGACGGUAACAUUUCUAGCUUGCUAGAAGAUGACGAGUGGCGGACGGGUGAGUAAUGCUUGGGAACUUGCCUUUGCGAGGGGGAUAACAGUUGGAAACGACUGCUAAUACCGCAUAAUGUCUACGGACCAAACGGGGCUUCGGCUCCGGCGCAAAGAGAGGCCCAAGUGAGAUUAGCUAGUUGGUAAGGUAACGGCUUACCAAGGCGACGAUCUCUAGCUGUUCUGAGAGGAAGAUCAGCCACACUGGGACUGAGACACGGCCCAGACUCCUACGGGAGGCAGCAGUGGGGAAUAUUGCACAAUGGGGGAAACCCUGAUGCAGCCAUGCCGCGUGUGUGAAGAAGGCCUUCGGGUUGUAAAGCACUUUCAGUUGUGAGGAAAAGUUAGUAGUUAAUACCUGCUAGCCGUGACGUUAACAACAGAAGAAGCACCGGCUAACUCCGUGCCAGCAGCCGCGGUAAUACGGAGGGUGCGAGCGUUAAUCGGAAUUACUGGGCGUAAAGCGCACGCAGGCGGUUUGUUAAGCUAGAUGUGAAAGCCCCGGGCUCAACCUGGGAUGGUCAUUUAGAACUGGCAGACUAGAGUCUUGGAGAGGGGAGUGGAAUUCCAGGUGUAGCGGUGAAAUGCGUAGAUAUCUGGAGGAACAUCAGUGGCGAAGGCGACUCCCUGGCCAAAGACUGACGCUCAUGUGCGAAAGUGUGGGUAGCGAACGGGAUUAGAUACCCUGGUA